rnacentral:tRNA from 1 species
AAUUUUUUAGUAUAAUCAGUACUUUUGGUUUCCAACCAAAUCGUCUAAUCAAUUUAGAAAAAUUA